CUUGGAAACAGAUAAAGGAAAAAGUCCAGUAAUUUGUAGCAAUGUGACUCCAGCCACACAUGCCAUGGAAUUGAUGUUCUUCAUUAGGGCCAGAUGUAGCUCAUCAUCGGUUGGAAUUGAUUCCAGAAGAGGUGUUAGAGUCUGUUGGUCCAAGAGAAAGUCUCAUCCAAGCACCAAAAAGAGCCAUGAGGAAAAUGAAUAUGAUCUCCACGGAUCUCCCAACAAUGUAGUAGUCCAACACUCAGCACACACUGAGCAAUGAGAUAACCCAGAAACGGCCCAUUUGAGCUCAUAAGGGACCUCCACCUGUUUCACAAUGCUGCAUCUAUGCUGCUGAUUCAUGGAACUUGUUUUCUUCAUCCAAUGACAUUGCUUGGCCUCUAAACAGAUAUUCAACCCUAUUUCACAUGUCUCGUGUCA